rnacentral:rRNA from 1 species
GAUACGUCUCGUUGGUGACAGCGGAGGGAUCAUUACAGAAGCCGAAAGGCUACUUCAAACCAUCGCGAACUCGUCCAAGUUGCUUCGGCGGCGCGGCUCCCCCAACGGGGCGCCGCAGCCCCGCCUCCCCGGAGGUGAGGGGCGCCCGCCGGAGGUAUCAAACCCUUCUGUAUUAUAGUGGCAUCUCUGAGUAAAACAAACAAGUUAAAACUUUCAACAACGGAUCUCUUGGCUCUGGCAUCGAUGAAGAACGCAGCGAAAUGCGAUAAGUAAUGUGAAUUGCAGAAUUCAGUGAAUCAUCGAAUCUUUGAACGCACAUUGCGCCCGCUAGUACUCUAGCGGGCAUGCCUGUUCGAGCGUCAUUUCAACCCUCAAGCCCUGCUUGGUGUUGGGGCCCUACGGCUGCCGUAGGCCCUGAAAGGAAGUGGCGGGCUCGCUGCAACUCCGAGCGUAGUAAUUCAUUAUCUCGCUAGGGAGGCGCGGCGCGCUCCUGCCGUUAAAGACCCCAUCUUUAACCAAGGUUGACCUCGGAUCAGGUAGGAAUACCCGCUGAACUUAAGCAUAUCAAUAAGCGGAGGAAAAGAAACCAACAGGGAUUGCCCCAGUAACGGCGAGUGAAGCGGCAACAGCUCAAAUUUGAAAUCUGGCCUCGGCCCGAGUUGUAAUUUGUAGAGGAUGCUUUUGGUGAGGUGCCUUCUGAGUUCCCUGGAACGGGACGCCAGAGAGGGUGAGAGCCCCGUAUAGUCGGCCACCGAUCCUCUGUAAAGCUCCUUCGACGAGUCGAGUAGUUUGGGAAUGCUGCUCAAAAUGGGAGGUAUAUCUCUUCUAAAGCUAAAUAUAGGCCAGAGACCGAUAGCGCACAAGUAGAGUGAUCGAAAGAUGAAAAGCACUUUGAAAAGAGGGUUAAAUAGCACGUGAAAUUGUUGAAAGGGAAGCGCUUGUGACCAGACUUGCGCCGGGCUGAUCAUCCAGUGUUCUCACUGGUGCACUCAACCCGGCUCAGGGCCAGCGUCGGUUCUCGUAAGGGGGAUAAAAGCUUCCGGGAACGUGGCACCCUUCCGGGUGUGUUAUAGCCCGCUUGCUAAAUACCCCUUGUGGGGGACCGAAGGUUCCCGCCUCUGCCAGGGACGCUUGGCAUAAAUGGUUCAUCCACCCACCCCUCCAAAAAAAAAAACCACCAAAACAAAAAGAGUUAUUACAAAGGUCUGAAUGACGUGGGGGCUUUUAAUUAACACGUGCCACCCUAUC